AUGAGCCACGACAGGCUGGAUCGCGCCCCUCAGUUCGAACAUGGUUUAGUGCAGAGACGCAGCUGCGAGUCUCGCCUCGGUGCCACUGCCGGCAGGGAGAGAAGCGCCCCGGGCCCGCCCGAGCCUGCUGGACGGUCGCGCGCUCCGACGCUGGGCUGUUUGCUGCCGAGGUACGUCUUCUUGGUGGCUGGGUGCGCCUGGGCGUCCUCCUCCGCGGAGCGGAGCGGGGAGAGCGGCGGCGGCAGCGGCACGAGACAAGCUGUGCGCGACCAAGAGCCCCAGCCAAGGCCGGGCGGCGGCGGGCGGGCGCUCCUGAGGCUCCGCAGGCUGCCUCAUCCUGGAAGCCCCUGCGGAGCGCAGCGCAGCGCAGCGCGUCCCUCCCCGCACUCUAGGGCCCAGGAGCUCCGCCUUCCCUCCCCUGCCUGCCUGCUGGCGCCUCUUGGGAGCCUCGACGGCAGAGAAGGACCUCUGAGAGCUCGCCUUCGCUCGCGGGGGCGGCUCCGCUGCCGGCGCUCUUCCGAGGGGAAGCCCCGAACCCCAGCGCGGGGCUGGGAUCCCUCCAGCAGUCAGCGAGCUUCUUCCCUCCGCGAGGAGGAGGAGGAGGGAGCAGAAAGCCCAAAGCGGCGAGGAGGAGGAGGCGGCUGCGAUCCUGGAACAGACGGGCUUGGGCCCCGAGGGAGCGGCUGCUCGGGCUUUCCCUCGCGAGGGCUACCGGCUCUGGAGGAAAGAGCCCGGCCAGAGGCUCCUGGGCACUGUUUCCGGGGGCACAGACGUGCGUGCCGUUCACCUGCUCCGAGAGCGGGGACGGGGGAUGUGUUAGCGGGGGACGCGGGGCCGGAGGGAGGGCACCCCGCCUGUCCGGGCUCAGAGCCAUCCCUUCUCUCCCGGGAAGUCCCCGCCCCGCCCGGCUCCCACAUCUGUUUUGGAAAGCAAAGCGUGCUUGGAGAAUUCGCACACGGCACCUCCCGGUGGGGAGGGGAGACCUCCUCGGGAAGCCAGAAAUCUGCCUGCCACAUGCUGAGACACUCGCGGCCAGCGGAGGCAUCGCCUUAUUUCUGGGUGGUGGGCAGGGAGAUUCUGCAAGGAGCCACCCUGCACCCGGGAAGGGGGCUCCCCCCCAGCUCCCCAUACAAGGCAGCCGGGGCUCCCCGCUCUGUCCCGAGUCAGCCCCACAGAACACAUCCUGGUCCUGGGUUUCUUUUCUCUUCCUUCGCCUCCUCCUCCUCCUCCUCCUCCUCCUCUUCUUCUCCCUUCCUCCUCCCCUUCUUCCUCCUUCCCUUCCUCCUUCUCUUCUUUCUCUCCCUUCCUCCUCCUCCUCCCCUUCCUCCUUCUCCUCCUCUUCUUCCCCCUUCCUCCUCCUCUUCUUCCUCCUCUUCCUCCCCCUCCCUUCCUCCUACCACCCCACCCCCAGAGUGA
rnacentral:lncRNA from 1 species